rnacentral:rRNA from 1 species
AUAAACUCCGAAUGCCAUGUACUUAUACUCGGGAGUCAGACUGCGAGUGAUAAGAUCCGUAGUCGAAAGGGAAACAGCCCAGACCACCAGUUAAGGUCCCCAAAUAUAUGUUAAGUGGAAAAGGAUGUGGGGUUGCUUAGACAACCAGGAUGUUGGCUUAGAAGCAGCCACCAUUGAAAGAGUGCGUAAUAGCUCACUGGUCGAGUGACCCCGCGCCGAAAAUGUACCGGGGCUAAACAUAUUACCGAAACUGUGGAUGAACCUCUUUAGAGGUUCGUGGUAGGAGAGCGUUCUAAGGGCGGUGAAGUCAGACCGGAAGGACUGGUGGAGCGCUUAGAAGUGAGAAUGCCGGUAUGAGUAGCGAAAGAAGGGUGAGAAUCCCUUCCACCGAAUAUCUAAGGUUUCCUGAGGAAGGCUCGUCCGCUCAGGGUUAGUCGGG